rnacentral:rRNA from 1 species
AACGAACGCUGGCGGUGUGCUUAACACAUGCAAGUCGAACGGAACGGGCCUGCUUUUGUGUGCACCUCGAGGGGCAAGGGCGUGAGUAACACGUGACUCACCUCCACUUCAUUCUCAGUUACGUACAUGAAACUCGUGCUAAUACCGCACAGGAACCACUGCUGCGUACGGGUGCGUAGCGAGUUUCAGCGGUUGGGGAUGGACUCGCGGCUUAUCAGCUUGUUGGUGGGGUAGUGGCUUACCACGGCUUUGACGGGUAGCCGGCCUGAGAGGGUGACCGGCCACAUUGGGACUGAGAUACGGCCCAGACUCCUCCGGGAGGCAGCAGUGGGGAAUAUUGCACAAUGGGCGGAAGCCUGAUGCAGCAACGCCGCGUGCGGGAUGACGGCCUUCGGGUUGUAAACCGCUUUCGCCUGUGACGAAGCGUGAGUGACGGUAAUGGGUAAAGAAGCACCGGCUAACUACGUG